rnacentral:lncRNA from 1 species
GAGUCGGUCACGACUGGGCCUAAUGGUCAGGGGUCCCUUUACCAUUACCUUUAUGCCUUGUAGUAACACACACUAGGGACACACCAGAGUGGUGUCAGGCUAGGACCCGGAAGAAUUCCCCACUCAGCCAUGAAGUGCACUGGGAGGCUAUGGGCCAGUCACUUUCUGUCAGCCUAACCUACCCCUCAUUGAACUCCUUGGGGUAGAGAAAGUGGGGGAGUGAAUGUAAUAAUCUGGAUGACUGCUGCUGUUUUAUAUUUUGGGGGCUGUGAAGAGGGAUUUCUCACAGUUCCCAAGCCCUGGCCCAGGGGUAGGCAAAAUAAGGCCCGGGGGCCGGAUCCGGCCCAAUCGCCUUCUCAAUCUGGCCCGCGGACGGUCUGGGAAUCAGCAUGUUUUUACAUGAAUAGAAUGUGUCCUUUUAUUUAAAAUGCAUCUCUGGGUUAUUUGUUGGGCCUGCCUGGUGUUUUUACAUGAGUAGAAUGUGUCCUUUUAUUGAAAAUGCAUCUCUGGGUUAUUUGUGGGGCAUAGGAAUUCGUUCAUUUUUUUCUUCAAAAUAUAGUCCGGCCUGAGGAGAUUUCACCCCUCCCAUUCUAAGAAUCUGCUGAUGUUCUCUGCUGAUUCUCCAGAGAGGAGGGGGGCGGUUUCUGCUCACUACUUAUUCCGCUCCAGCCUCACAUCAAUGAGAGAGACUGAGUGUUAGAGAGAGAGAGUGUUAUCUCUGUAUAGAUAAGGUUGCUGCUAAGAGCAGCUGCAGACACGCAGCACAGUUCAGCUUCCCCAUUUAGCUCUGUAUAUAGUUUGUAUGAUAGUUGUAGAUGGAAUAAAAGUAGUUAUUCUACAGAGCUGUUCUCCGAGUGGUUUAAGCUCUGCUGUACUCUGCUGUGCAACAACUGUCUUCGGGAGUGAAUCUGGUGCUCACAGCUCUGAGUUGUGAGUCCACAGCACUUUUACCUGUUCCUGUGCAGAAGGUGGUCUCUGGAAGUGCUACCCCAGCUCGCCUGGCCCAGUCGGGGCUGAAGUGGUUGAGCCCAGUCAGUGGCACUGGCUCAAAGGGCGAUGCUGACACAGCCCCCCACAAGGUCUGAGGGACAGUGGACCGGCCCACAGCUGAAAAAGUUUGCUGACCCCUGCCCUGGCCUGUGGACUCUGUUACGUAGGUUGCCAUAUCUUGAAGGGCAAAAAAGAGGACAGCCCGACCAAGGAAAGAGGUGAGUGUGCAGAACAACCUCAGCCCACGCCGCUGCUGGCCUGAGUGGAGACAGGACCCCAGGUAUGAAGUUUACGGCAUGUAAUGCCUUAAGAGAGAAUAUUAUGAAAAUGAUAUGCAGGUGGUACAUGACCCCAGUCAAGCUUGCAAAAAUCUACCAUUUGCCCGAUAACAAAUGUUGGAAAUGCAAAGAAACUGAAGGUACAUUCUUUCACCUUUGGUGGACGUGCCCAAGGAUUAAGGUUUUCUGGGAGAUGAUUUAUAAUGAAUUAAAAAAGGUAUUUAAAUAUACCUUCUUGAAGAAACCAGAGGCCUUUCUCCUGGGCAUAGUCGGCCAAUCGGUGUUAAAGAAGGACAGAACUUUCUUUAUGUAUGCUACAACAGCAGCAAGAAUACUUAUUGCAAAGCAUUGGAAGACACAAGACUUACCCACACUGGAGGAAUGGCAGAUGAAAUUGAUGGACUACAUGGAAUUGGCGGAAAUGACUGGCAGAAUCCGAGACCAGGGAGAAGAGUCGGUGGAAGAAGAUUGGAAGAAAUUUAAAGACUAUUUACAGAAAUAUUGCAAAAUUAAUGAAUGUUAGAAUGAUGUUGGAUUGAAGUUAAGUGGUUUCUAGCUGUAAUGGUAUAAAAGAAUAUGGAAAAAUUGGAUUUUUAAUAGGUAAAAACUUAAUGCUAUAAUAUAUUAAGAUUAAAGAUCAGGAUAAAAUAAGGAGGGAAAGGAAUUGCUGAACUAAUAAAUUGAACUGGAAUACAAAAAAGGGAGGCAUGAGGAGGUCUGGGAAACAAGUAAAUGAAAGAUAAGUGAUGAAAAGAUGGAAUUGUUUUUAAUUUUUUUUUGUAUUUUUUCUUUUUUCAUGUAAUAUUGUGAAAACUUUAAUAAAUAUAUAUUAAAAAAAAGAGAGAGACAGGACCCCAGUUCCUACCUGAUCUUCGCCGCGACAGCCUCACUUCGCAGCAGCGCUUCUGCUGCUGGGACAUAGCGCCCUCGCAAGCAGGUGCACGCCACCCCCCAAAAAACAAAAGAAGCCUACCCCAUCCCCAAAUAAAAAACCUCCAAAUCCAGACAUUUCCUUAAAAAUGCAAAAAUCUGCCCAGAUGGGCAUGUUGGCCCCCAAAAGGAGGGCAUGUCCUGGUUUUCCCGGACACAUGGCAACCCUACCGUUAAGGUAGUUCCCAGCGAGGCUGCAGAACAGUCAAUAACAUCUGUCAUGCAGGAGCUCGGAGUUGUGGGGGCCUUUAACUUUGGAAUGACCUUGAAAACAUGCCUUUAAAUAUCACAUGGAUUUCAGUGUUGACUAUGGAAAAGGGGAUGACUUGUCGAGAAGGGACAAAAAUAUUGUCAAGCUGGAGUCUCCCCGAGUGAAAGGAGCAGAAGACAAAGUAAAGUACAGAUAUAAACAUGAAGAAGACCUGCGGAAGGGACAUGGAAAAGACUUAAGAGCCUCGGAUAUAAGGUCACCAGGUUGAUGGACUAGAUGGAUGGGAUAGAAAGGACUGACAAAACCCGAGACCAGGAAGAAGAGACGAUGGAUGAAGAUUGGAAGAAAGUUUUAAAAAUAUAUUUAGAAAAGUAUCGUAAAAUUAAUGAGUAUUAGAAAAAUGUUGGAAUGAAAUUAUUUGGCUUUAGC